CUGCAGUUGGAAUUUAACGACCCAGUGGAUGGGAAACAAAGGGAAGAAAUGAGACUUGAAAAAACAAACAAACAGGGAGAUCAAGUGAAGGGUGGGCAGACCUCUAUUUGACUGAUGCUUGCUCCCUUUGAAGGUAUGUAGGAAAUUUUGUAGUACUGAGACCUGUGCCUCUGAGAAUCCCUUGAAACCUGACAGACUCAAGGAAACUAAGAAAUAAAAUUACAGGCCACUGUCACACCACUUGGGGAAAAAUUGGAAAUCAGACACACGAGUGUGGCUUUGUUUUCCUGGAGCUCCUCAGGGGAAGGUGGAAACAUGAAUAUCUAUUGGCACCUACUUCUACAAAAGACCAGCUGAAACAUCUAACCUGGUGGGACUGAGCAACUACUAGAUUCUUCGACUUCCCAUUCACAGUGACUUCUGGCUGUUUCCACUGACUUGGGCUGAUUGACAGAGAC
ensembl:antisense